rnacentral:miRNA from 1 species
CUGGCGGAGCCCAUUCCAUGCCA